rnacentral:tRNA from 1 species
AGAAAAUAUUUAAUUUAAAAUUUCUAAUUUUAAUUAAAUACCUUAUGGUAUUAUAUUUUUAA